CAUGGCUCAGGAUGAACGCUGACAGAAUGCUUAACACAUGCAAGUCUACUUGAAUUUGGGUUUUUUAACUUCGAUUUGGGUGGCGGACGGGUGAGUAACGCGUAAAGAACUUGCCUUACAGUUAGGGACAACAUUUGGAAACGAAUGCUAAUACCUGAUAUUAUGAUUUUAGGGCAUCCUAAGAUUAUGAAAGCUAUAUGCGCUGUGAGAGAGCUUUGCGUCCCAUUAGCUAGUUGGAGAGGUAACAGCUCACCAAGGCGAUGAUGGGUAGCCGGCCUGAGAGGGUGAUCGGCCACAAGGGGACUGAGACACGGCCCUUACUCCUACGG
rnacentral:rRNA from 1 species